rnacentral:rRNA from 1 species
UACGGGGGGAGCAAGCGUUGUUCGGAUUUACUGGGCGUAAAGGGCGCGUAGGCGGCCAGCACAAGUCAGUUGUGAAAUCUCCCGGGGCUUAACUCGGAAAGGUCAACUGAUACUGUGCGACUAGAGUGCAGAAGGGGCAACUGGAAUCUCGGUGUAGCGGUGAAAAUGCGUAGAUAUCGAGAGGAACACCUGCGGCGAAGGCGGGUUGCUGGGCUGACACGUGACGCUGGAUGCGCGAAAGCCAGGGAGCGAACGGGA